GAGCUCAGAUAGAAUCCAGAAGAUGGUUGACUACCGUAGAAACUUGGAUGGAGUCUGGUUACUAUAGAAAUUCUAUUGUCGGAGAAGCUCGAACACUGACGAAGUCCGGACGAAGUUUGGAGUAGAGUCGUCCGUGACCAGAAGUCUGGAAGAGAUUCGGAGAAUAGUCGAUCACCGUAGAAAAUCGGCUGAUAGCGGAGUUCAGAGGGUGUUUGGAGCAGUCCGGUAGAUGAAUGGAGUAGCUCAUUGUUGGAGAAGUCCGGAUGGUCGAGGGAGUUCAGAAAGACAUCACACA
rnacentral:lncRNA from 1 species